GAUUACGUUUUUUCAAAUUCAAAACUUCUGACUUUUUCUUGGCAGCCAAACACAUCGUGAAAGUUUUGUUAUAUUUUUCGAACACCCUGAUUUCUUUGCAUGUUUUUUUAUGUAUAUUGCGAUGUGCAUUAGUUUCCUGAUAUAUUAACAAGAUGAGAUGAAAGGUUUUGGAUUUUGAUUUUUGUGUGCUAUAGUUUUCGGGUCAGAUCCUACUGCAUAUACACAAAUGAUAUUGUAUUAGAUAAUGUUAAGGAUCGUAUGUUUCAAAUUAUUAUUUUCCUUUAAAAAAUGUUUCCCUUUGAGGUUCUCUUUUUUUUUUUCCCUUCUUCUUAUGGCUUUGAAUUUGGUCCUUUAGUUCUGGGAAUGCUAAGAGAAAGAAAUAGAAAUGCCCUAAAUGCUAAAAUAUUGAAUGCUAAAAUAUUGAACUUUGGCUUUUUUUUUUUUUUUUUUGUUCAAAGGGAAUUCCUUUCUAGAAAUCAAAUGUUUUAUUAUUUAUGUUUUAAAAUAAAGAAAAGUUUUGGUUAGUCAAAAGGGUUUUUAUGAUAGGCUCCUGGAUUGUUAUUUAUAGAAGUCUGCUAUUUAUGUUUUCCCCUCUCAACGCUUCUGUAAUUAUAUAAUCAUCACCAGCUUGCUCAUAUGAUUUGAAUUGAUGUGCAGUUCCCUGGGGGAGAUGAUAUAUGGCUGCGGUGAUUUGAUUUUUUUAUCACACAUUAUUUUUACGUUAUUAUUUGUUCUGACAUGGAAGAAAUAAGGCACAAUAAGGUAAAUAGUCAUUCUCAAUUGCUUCUUAUGCUUGUUCAUGACAAUUGUCUUUAUUGUUUCUCAAUUGCAUAUAUAGGUGGAGACAAAGGGGCUGACUUUAUCAGGAAUACGAGAUUUUUUUUUUUUAUCAGAUGUACCUUAAGUAGUUUGCUUGGCUACUUGUCAUUAUUUCGAGCCUCCUGAUUAUAGCUUCUCACAAGCAUUACAUAAUCGAUAUUGUUGUCACUUGGUAAACAAAAGAAGGAUUUUGUUAUGUUAUUGAAUAGACUAAUUGGUAUUGUUUUAGUGGUUGUGAACUGUUAUAUUCUUUUUCAGGUAUACUGUAAAUUUGACAGUGUUCUUCCUUGACAAGAAAUUGCCAGGUUAACUUUAGCAUUAGCAUCUUCUUUUUAACUUAUUCACACAUUAGUGUGUCUAAUAUGGAUAGUAAUUUUGUGUGUCUAACAUGGAUAUUAAUGUUGUUUUGGCAGAUGUUACUGGGGUUUUAUGCGAGCUCCAGCUAAUUAUAAAGAAGGUGAAGGUGUCCCCUUGACAAGGUUCUAUGUUCUUCUACAAUCUAUCAGAAUUCAGAAAUCCACAUCUUGUGUUUUCUUUUUCUAGGAUUUCUUCUAUUUAAUCUAUUGCAAGUUUAUUGUUACAGUUACUAAGUGGUAGUUGUUGGAUGCUAAAAAUUGAUUUCACAUCUCAUUUGAAAUUGUGCUAAUAUUUCCGUACAAACUUGAUACUAUCUCAUUUAGAAAUUAUAUGAAAAAGAGACUUAUGCAGUCCAAGUAGUUGGGUAAAAAUCAUAUUUUAUCAUAAGUCUUUAAAUGUUAAGAGUCGUUUAAACAAAUCUGCCAUUACAAUAUAAAAAUUGAUUUGUUGAAAAUGAGGAGCUGACAAUUAAAUCAGGUUAGAAUA